rnacentral:misc_RNA from 1 species
UAAAAGUUGGGAUGUUAAAAUAUGUGCAAAACAAUAAAAGAGAAGGUAUAGAGUUUCCAUCCAUCAAUUACAAUUGAAAGAAGGGUUUUAUAGUUCAACUAUAUAUGUGAUUGAUAUAAUGGUAAGAAAGAAGAAGCAUAUUCAAUAACAAAAGGAACUUGAGCUUUAGUAGGAUUACAUGAGGAUAUCAUUUAAAGAAAUAAACAAAUUUAAG